CGAAGUCAAGAGGAGCUUGCUCUUUUUGACUUAGUGGCGAACGGGUGAGUAACGCGUGAGGAACCUGCCUCAAAGAGGGGGACAACAGUUGGAAACGACUGCUAAUACCGCAUAAGCCCACAGCUCCGCAUGGAGCAGAGGGAAAAGGAGCAAUCCGCUUUGAGAUGGCCUCGCGUCCGAUUAGCUAGUUGGUGAGGUAACGGCCCACCAAGGCGACGAUCGGUAGCCGGACUGAGAGGUUGAUCGGCCACAUUGGGACUGAGACACGGCCCAGACUCCUACGGGAGGCAGCAGUGGGGAAUAUUGCACAAUGGGGGAAACCCUGAUGCAGCGACGCCGCGUGGAGGAAGAAGGUCUUCGGAUUGUAAACUCCUGUUGUUGGGGAAGAUAAUGACGGUACCCAACAAGGAAGUGACGGCUAACUACGUGCCAGCAGCCGCGGUAAAACGUAGGUCACAAGCGUUGUCCGG
rnacentral:rRNA from 1 species